GUGCCAGCAGCCGCGGUAAUACGUAGGCGGCGAGCAUUAUCCGGAUUUAUUGGGCGUAAAGCGGGUGUAGGUGGUUUUUCAAGUCAGAUGUGAAAUUUCUCGGCUUAACCGGGAAGAGUCAUUUGAUACUGUUAGACUUGAGGGCAGGAGAAGGAGAUGGAAUUCCCGGUGUAGUGGUGAAAUGCGUAGAUAUCGGGAGGAACACCAGUGGCGAAAGCGGUCUCCCGGCCUGUUCCUGACACUGAGGCCCUAAAGCGUGGGUAGCAAACAGGAUUAGAUACCCGGGUAGUCC
rnacentral:rRNA from 1 species